AGUGAACGCUGGCGGUAGGCCUAACACAUGCGAGUCGAACGGCAGCACAGUAAGAGCUUGCUCUUACGGGUGGCGAGUGGCGGACGGGUGAGGAAUACAUCGGAAUCUACUUUUUCGUGGGGGAUAACGUAGGGAAACUAACGCUAAUACCGCAUACGACCAACGGGUGAAAGCAGGGGAUCUUCGGACCUUGCGCGAUUGAAUGAGCCGAUGUCGGAUUAGCUAGUUGGCGGGGUAAAGGCCCACCAAGGCGACGAUCCGUAGCUGGUCUGAGAGGAUGAUCAGCCACACUGGAACUGAGACACGGUCCAGACUCCUACGGGAGGCAGCAGUGGGGAAUAUUGGACAAUGGGCGCAAGCCUGAUCCAGCCAUACCGCGUGGGUGAAGAAGGCCUUCGGGUUGUAAAGCCCUUUUGUUGGGAAAGAAAAGCAGCAGGUUAAUACCCCGCUGUUCUGACGGUACCCAAAGAAUAAGCACCGGCUAACUUCGUG
rnacentral:rRNA from 1 species